GGAUUAGAUACCCUGGUAGUCCACGCCGUAAACGAUGAGAACUAGGUGUUGGGAGUUUAACUCUUGGUACCGCAGCUAACGCAUUAAGUUCUCCGCCUGGGGAGUACGGCCGCAAGGCUAAAACUCAAAGGAAUUGACGGGGGCCCGCACAAGCGGUGGAGCAUGUGGUUUAAUUCGAUGCAACGCGAAAAACCUUACCUACCCUUGAAAUCUUCGGAAUCUCUCAGCAAUGAGAGAGUGCCUUCGGGAACCGAAUGACAGGUGUUGCAUGGCUGUCGUCAGCUCGUGCCG
rnacentral:rRNA from 1 species